GAAGGGACCUAGCGUAGUUCGGAAUUACUGGGCUUAAAGAGCACGUAGGUGGUUAAGAAAGUUGGUGGUGAAAUCCCAAGGCUUAACCUUGGAACUGCCACCAAAACUUUUUAACUAGAGUAUGAUUGAGGUAAGCGGAAUUUCUAGUGUAGAGGUGAAAUUCGUAGAUAUUAGAAAGAACACCAAUUGCGAAGGCAGCUUUCUGGAUCAUUACUGACACUGAGGUGCGAAAGCAUGGGUAGCGAAGAGGAUUAGAUACCCUCGUAGUCCAUGCCGUAAACGAUGUGUGCUAGACGUUGGGAAUUUAGUUUUCAGUGUCGCAGCAAAAGCGUUAAGCACACCGCCUGGGGAGUACGACCGCAAGGUUAAAACUCAAAUGAAUUGACGGGGACCCGCACAAGUAGUGGAGCAUGUGGUUUAAUUCGAAGAUACGCGCAGAACCUUACCAACACUUGACAUGUUCGUCGCGACUCUAAGAGAUUAGAGUUUUCGGUUCGGCCGGACGAAACACAGGUGCUGCAUGGCUGUCGUCAGCUCGUGUCGUGAGAUGUUGGGUUAAGUCCCGCAACGAGCGCAACCCUUACUUUUAGUUGCUACCAUUUAGUUGGGCACUCUAAAAGAACUGCCGGUGAUAAGCUGGAGGAAGGUGGGGAUGACGUCAAGUCCUCAUGGCCCUUAUGUGUUGGGCUACACACGUGCUACAAUGGUAUUUACAGUGGGAUGCAAAGAGGCAACUCCAAGCCAACCCUCAAAGAAUACCUCAGUUCGGAUUGUACUCUGCAACUCGAGUACAUGAAGCUGGAAUUACUAGUAAUCGCGGAUCAGCGCGCCGCGGUGAAUACGUUCCCGGGUCUU
rnacentral:rRNA from 1 species